rnacentral:rRNA from 1 species
GACGAACGCUGGCGGCGUGCUUAACACAUGCAAGUCGAACGGAAAGGCCCUGCUUUUGUGGGGUGCUCGAGUGGCGAACGGGUGAGUAACACGUGAGUAACCUGCCCUUGACUUUGGGAUAACUUCAGGAAACUGGGGCUAAUACCGGUUAGGAGCUCCUGCUGCAUGGUGGGGGUUGGAAAGUUUCGGCGGUUGGGGAUGGACUCGCGGCUUAUCAGCCUGUUGGUGGGGUAGUGGCUUACCAAGGCUUUGACGGGUAGCCGGCCUGAGAGGGUGACCGGCCACAUUGGGACUGAGAUACGGCCCAGACUCCUACGGGAGGCAGCAGUGGGGAAUAUUGCACAAUGGGCGGAAGCCUGAUGCAGCAACGCCGCGUGCGGGAUGACGGCCUUCGGGUUGUAAACCGCUUUCGCCUGUGACGAAGCGUGAGUGACGGUAAUGGGUAAAGAAGCACCGGCUAACUACGUG